GCGCUCACUUCGGCAGCAUGUAUACUAAAAUUGGAAAGAUACAAAGAAGACAGACAUGGCCCCUGCGCAUGACACACAAAUUCAAGAAGUGUUCCAUAUUUUU